CAGUCACGUCUGCCAGGACUCAGCCUUGCUUCUGCUUGGUGUACUUUCUGGUUUGAUGGGCCAACAUCAAUUUUGACCGUUGGAGAAAGGCAUUGGGAACGUGGCAUCUCCGGAUGUGUUAUAGCCCAUGGAUCACAUACAGUGGUUGGGAUUGAGGACAUCUCAGUGCUUGCACUGCAGGAUGCUGGCAUAAUGGCUCUAAUCGACCCGUCUUAGAAACACGGACCAAGGA
rnacentral:rRNA from 1 species